AGAGCCUGGGUAUAAAACAAGUAAGUUUUCUAUAUUCACACUAGAUGCAAUUCUAGGUGUUCAACGACCAGUUCGAUAAUCCUUACAGAUGGAGGCUCAAUUGAUUGUUCUUUUUGUGAUCACAUUUGGGGCAGUGUCCAAAGCAGCGACGGAGACGGGACUAUCUGGAGGACGUUUUCCUGUUGAUUUACACGAUCCUGAGGUUAUACAGGCAAAAGAAUUUCUUUUAAAACUGCACGCCAGUGACUUCUAUAAAAAAGAUAACUUAGAUAUACUCGAAGAUAACUUAGAUAUACUCGAAACCAAAGCAAUGAAACAGGUUGUUGCCGGAGAUAUUAUUUUUUUGGAUUACAAUCGCAUUUUAUAUGGUGAGAUUAUUACUAAAUGCCGUGCAGACGUAUUUAUCGAUCUUCACAACAAGAUGCACCUAGUUUAUAUGCGAUUUCCUCGGUGCCAAUCACACUAGUUAUAAUUUCAAAAAUUUCUGUAUCUUCUAUUACCAAAAAAUGGUCAUUAUAAACUAAUACUAUUAUAAACUAUAAGAAUAAAAAAAUGGGUCAUA